rnacentral:rRNA from 1 species
UGCGGGUGCUAUACAUGCAAGUCGAGCGGACAGAUGGGAGCUUGCUCCCUGAUGUUAGCGGCGGACGGGUGAGUAACACGUGGGUAACCUGCCUGUAAGACUGGGAUAACUCCGGGAAACCGGGGCUAAUACCGGAUGGUUGUUUGAACCGCAUGGUUCAGACAUAAAAGGUGGCUUCGGCUACCACUUACAGAUGGACCCGCGGCGCAUUAGCUAGUUGGUGAGGUAACGGCUCACCAAGGCGACGAUGCGUAGCCGACCUGAGAGGGUGAUCGGCCACACUGGGACUGAGACACGGCCCAGACUCCUACGGGAGGCAGCAGUAGGGAAUCUUCCGCAAUGGACGAAAGUCUGACGGAGCAACGCCGCGUGAGUGAUGAAGGUUUUCGGAUCGUAAAGCUCUGUUGUUAGGGAAGAACAAGUGCCGUUCAAAUAGGGCGGCACCUUGACGGUACCUAACCAGAAAGCCACGGCUAACUACGUGCCAGCAGCCGCGGUAAUACGUAGGUGGCAAGCGUUGUCCGGAAUUAUUGGGCGUAAAGGGCUCGCAGGCGGUUUCUUAAGUCUGAUGUGAAAGCCCCCGGCUCAACCGGGGAGGGUCAUUGGAAACUGGGGAACUUGAGUGCAGAAGAGGAGAGUGGAAUUCCACGUGUAGCGGUGAAAUGCGUAGAGAUGUGGAGGAACACCAGUGGCGAAGGCGACUCUCUGGUCUGUAACUGACGCUGAGGAGCGAAAGCGUGGGGAGCGAACAGGAUUAGAUACCCUGGUAGUCCACGCCGUAAACGAUGAGUG